CCUACGGGUGGCAGCAGUGGGGAAUAUUGCACAAUGGGCGCAAGCCUGAUGCAGCCAUGCCGCGUGUGUGAAGAAGGCCUUCGGGUUGUAAAGCACUUUCAGCGGGGAGGAAGGCGUUAAGGUUAAUAACCUUGUCGAUUGACGUUACCCGCAGAAGAAGCACCGGCUAACUCCGUGCCAGCAGCCGCGGUAAUACGGAGGGUGCAAGCGUUAAUCGGAAUUACUGGGCGUAAAGCGCACGCAGGCGGUCUGUCAAGUCGGAUGUGAAAUCCCCGGGCUCAACCUGGGAACUGCAUUCGAAACUGGCAGGCUAGAGUCUUGUAGAGGGGGGUAGAAUUCCAGGUGUAGCGGUGAAAUGCGUAGAGAUCUGGAGGAGUACCGGUGGCGAAGGCGGCCCCCUGGACAAAGACUGACGCUCAGGUGCGAAAGCGUGGGGAGCAAACAGGAUUAGAUACCCUUGUAGUC
rnacentral:rRNA from 1 species